rnacentral:rRNA from 1 species
AGUGAACGCCGGCGGUAGGCCUAACACAUGCAAGUCGAACGGCAGCACAGUAAGAGCUUGCUCUUACGGGUGGCGAGUGGCGGACGGGUGAGGAAUACAUCGGAAUCUACUUUUUCGUGGGGGAUAACGUAGGGAAACUUACGCUAAUACCGCAUACGACCUACGGGUGAAAGCAGGGGAUCUUCGGACCUUGCGCGAUUGAAUGAGCCGAUGUCGGAUUAGCUAGUUGGCGGGGUAAAGGCCCACCAAGGCGACGAUCCGUAGCUGGUCUGAGAGGAUGAUCAGCCACACUGGAACUGAGACACGGUCCAGACUCCUACGGGAGGCAGCAGUGGGGAAUAUUGGACAAUGGGCGCAAGCCUGAUCCAGCCAUACCGCGUGGGUGAAGAAGGCCUUCGGGUUGUAAAGCCCUUUUGUUGGGAAAGAAAAGCAGCAGGUUAAUACCCCGCUGUUCUGACGGUACCCAAGGAAUAAGCACCGGCUAACUUCGUG